GACGAACGCUGGCGGCGUGCUUAACACAUGCAAGUCGAACGGAAGGGCCCUGCGUUUGUGGGGUGCUCGAUUGGCGAACGGGUGAGUAAAACGUGAGUAACCUGCCCUUGACUUUGGGAUAACUUCAGGGAACUGGGGCUAAUACCGGAUAGGAUCUCCUGCUGCAUGGUGGGGGUUGGAAAGUGUCGGCGGUUGGGGAUGGACUCGCGGCUUAUCAGCUUGUUGGUGGGGUAGUGGCUUACCAAGGCUUUGACGGGUAGCCGGCCUGAGAGGGUGACCGGCAACAUUGGGACUGAGAUACGGCGCAGACUCCUACGGGAGGCAGCAGUGGGGAAUAUUGCACAAUGGGCGGAAGCCUGAUGCAGCAACGCCGCGUGCGGGAUGACGGCCUUCGGGUUGUAAACCGAUUUCGCCUGUGACGAAGCGUGAGUGACGGUAAUGGGUAAAGAAGCACCGGCUAACUACGUG
rnacentral:rRNA from 1 species